GGAGGUAUAGCUCAGCAAUAGAGUGGGUGCUUAGCAUGCACAAGAUCCUGGGUUCAAUCCCCAGUACCUCAA
rnacentral:tRNA from 1 species